UACGUAGGGGGCAAGCGUUGUCCGGAAUUAUUGGGCGUAAAGAGCGCGUAGGCGGUCCGAUAAGUCGGCUGUGAAAGUCAAGGGCUCAACCCUUGAAAGCCGGCCGAUACUGUCGGACUAGAGUCCGGAAGAGGCGAGUGGAAUUCCCGGUGUAGCGGUGAAAUGCGCAGAUAUCGUAAGGAAGACCAGUGGCGAAGGCGGGUCUCUGGACAGUUCCUGACGCUGAGGCACGAAGGCCAGGGGAGCAAACGGG
rnacentral:rRNA from 1 species